CUAUGUCAGCCCUGCGACAGACUGGCGAACUGUCCAGGGUGUACCCUGCCCUCGCCCGCAGCAGCUGGGAUUGGCUCCAGCCACCCGCGACCCCGAAAGGGAGAAGCGGCAAAGAAAAUGGAUGGAUCAUAAGACAUAUUAAUUAAUAAUUACAAAAGCAUACAUUUCAAUGUUGACACCAAAUGUUACAUUUGAAAUUUGUAGUUCAGGACCAUGGACAGCGCAGACUCCCUGCAUUGACAGUUCUUUGUGCUUCAUUUCUGCAGUUUUCUUUGCCUCGUUUUUAAUUUUGUGACCUGUCUGGUUUCAACGCUGCAACUGCUGCUUUGAUGAUGUUAUGAAUUAAUUUUUUAAAUAAUUUAGUUUUCUUUGUCUUUUGUAUUAGUUAUUAAUGUUCAUUAAUUCAUUAAUAUUAUUAACUGAUAUUUCACAUGAUACGAGUGAUAACUUGUGUUAUCAAGAUUUUUUUGCCAUGUAGGUGUGUCUUGAGAUUCUUACUUGUCCUUUGGUGUGCCUUGGACACAAAACAUUUGGCAACCACUGCACCUGACCAAUUUGAAGUCAGCUAAAAGUAAUCCAAAAGUAUUUAGAAUACAUUAUUUCAAUUGAGUAACCCAAGGGACUACAUUACAGAUGACAUUUUAGGACAUAUACCUAAUGUGGAGGGGAAUACAUUAACAAGUAACCCUCCCAACACUGACCUUUGAUUCGGCAACCAUGACGCUCCAACAGGAGAUGGAGGCCACCAGCUACUUAAUGUCACUUCUGUGAAAGCCGUGACAAAAAAAACAUGUUACUGCAAGAGAGAAAGAGUCGGUCUGAAUCAGUUUUGAAAAUAACCUGAUAAUGUGUCUCUAUAUUUUCCUUCACUGAUUUAUUUUUUUACUUUAUUUCAAUCAGAUCAGUUCUGUGCCAUCUCUUACCUAUUGUGUAUUGAUCAGGAUUUUCAUGGAAUUUAAACAUUUUCUUGAUUGUCUGAUCUGAUUUUUUCUAAUACGGAAAAAAAACAUCUUUUGGCCUUUUGGAUAAACUACUUUUGCUUCUAUUGUAUGUUUUGAAGGUUUUUUUUAUGUUUUUAAUGCUGUGGAGAAACAUUAUUCAUGGCUGCAGCUGUAACUGGAAUUUUCAUAAUUGAUAAAUAAAACUACAUCAUUGUUUGACA